AGCAGCCGCGGUAAUUCCAGCUCCAAUAGCGUAUAUUAAAGUUGUUGCAGUUAAAAAGCUCGUAGUUGAAUUUCGGGAUCAAUACGUCGGUCGUGCUUCGGUACGUACUGGCGUCAUUGGUUCCUCCCUUCUGAAGAACCGCGAUGUCAUUAAUUUGGUGUCGCGGGGAAUCAGGACUGUUACUUUGAAAAAAUUAGAGUGUUUAAAGCAAGCUCGCGCUUGAAUACAUUAGCAUGGAAUAAUGAAAUAGGACGUUUGAUUCUAUUUUGUUGGUUUCUAGGAUCGACGUAAUGAUUAAUAGGGAUAGUUGGGGGCAUUAGUAUUCAAUUGUCAGAGGUGAAAUUCUUGGAUUUAUUGAAGACUAACUACUGCGAAAGC
rnacentral:rRNA from 1 species